UCUGAUGGUAGAUGGGGGCUGCUGGUGCUGCCUGGAGCAGCUGUGCACCUGCAGUGGCAGUUUCCUGCUCCCUCUCUGCAGCAGGGAUGGUGGCAGUGGCGAUGGUGAUGGGUGUCUCUCUGUCCCUGCAGAGCUCUGUUUGGCACUGCCACUGCCAUCAGUCUGCCACGCUGGGCAUGUGUGUGGGAAUGGGAUCUGCCACUUUGCUGCCUCUUCCUACCACCCUGCUGGGCUCCACUUGGCUUGGCUGGACUCACUUGGGAUCAGUGUCACCACUCUGGCUUGCCUUGUUCUGUUGCAGUGGAAAAACAGUCCCACAUGCCACCCUGGCCCUGAUGGUUUCAGCUGUGUGUCAGAGCUGCCACUUCCGUGCCACCCAUUUCAGCCCCGCCUCCUGAGCAAUAUUGUGGAAGGAGAAAAAUGGGGGAAAAAAUGGUGGUGGUGCUUUGGUCCCAAGGCCUCCCUGUUAGAGUGAGUCAGACAGAACGAUCCUCCUUGCAUUUUCUGUCAUGGCAUUUCCCUGCUGUGGGAAUGCCAUUUCCCAUAGCUAUGAUGUAAAAUGUUUUGAAUAUAUAGUAUUCAAUAAUAUAAUACACAUACAUAUAUAUAGAUAUAUAUAUGUGUAUAUAUAAAUAAAAUAUAUAUACAGAAAGAUCCAUGACCAUGUCUCUGUACCUAGGAGAAACCUCUAAAUGUAAUUAAAGCAGUGCUUCUUCUCCUUGUUUUCUGAUUUCUACCACAAAGGAACAAGCCUUCUGAUUUUUGCUCAGCAGAAAUAGUGGCCAAAGACCACUAAUGUGGUUCCUCAUAUCCUGGUCCCUUCUCAGUGCUCAGCUUCUCAGUGUGGGCUCUAGGGGCUGAGUGUGUUCCUGCUCUUACAUGCCUUGAGCAACAGGUGAUGGACUAGGAGGGCUUUUUGUGUUGCUUUGUAGCAGAGGAGAACUUUGCAGGCUUUUUUUGGCAUUAGGUGUAGAGCAGGUCUGGUUCUAUGCAUGAAUUCACAAUCCAGCCUAGGGCGGCUGCUAUUGUGAUGUCAGCAGCCGCAUCCCGGCGUUGUCAAGGCAAAGUUGCUGUGCCGAGGCCCAGGAGGGCUCAGUGUGCAGAGCAGCUCUGUGGCACGCUCACUGCAGGCGAACCUGCUGAUCGACGAGGUCUCUGCCAGCAGGACUCGGAAUAUUUUUGUUUUUUCCCACAGGCGUUGUCUGGUGCAGACUUGAGCAGCGCUGCUCGAGCCAUGGAGGGAGUGUGUGCUGCAGUUUGCACGGCUUUUUCCGUGGCUUAUUCUGGGUACUUUCUCACCCACCUGGCACGUCACAUGACCCGUGCCUGGAGAGAAUCCGGUCUUUGGAGCCCAGCACCAACCUCGGAGGAUCCUCUGGCUGCGUGUCUUCCUGCAGAAGAGGCCAAAGAAGAGGAAGAUGCUCCCCAAACUGCACCUGCUGCCACUGCAGGGCCUGAGCAUCCAGCAUCAAGCACAAGGGCAGCGUCAGCACCUACUCUGGCUGCCUCUGUACCCGAGGAAGAGGCUGAAGAGGAGGAAGGUGCCAAUGAACCUGGCCCUGCUGUCAGCCCACAGCCAGAGCAAACAACACCA